GUCGAACGAACUCUGGUAUUGAUUGGUGCUUGCAUCAUGAUUUACAUUUGAGUGAGUGGCGAACUGGUGAGUAACACGUGGGAAACCUGCCCAGAAGCGGGGGAUAACACCUGGAAACAGAUGCUAAUACCGCAUAACAACUUGGACCGCAUGGUCCGAGUUUGAAAGAUGGCUUCGGCUAUCACUUUUGGAUGGUCCCGCGGCGUAUUAGCUAGAUGGUGAGGUAACGGCUCACCAUGGCAAUGAUACGUAGCCGACCUGAGAGGGUAAUCGGCCACAUUGGGACUGAGACACGGCCCAAACUCCUACGGGAGGCAGCAGUAGGGAAUCUUCCACAAUGGACGAAAGUCUGAUGGAGCAACGCCGCGUGAGUGAAGAAGGGUUUCGGCUCGUAAAACUCUGUUGUUAAAGAAGAACAUAUCUGAGAGUAACUGUUCAGGUAUUGACGGUAUUUAACCAGAAAGCCACGGCUAACUACGUGCCAGCAGCCGCGGUAAUACGUAGGUGGCAAGCGUUGUCCGGAUUUAUUGGGCGUAAAGCGAGCGCAGGCGGUUUUUUAAGUCUGAUGUGAAAGCCUUCGGCUCAACCGAAGAAGUGCAUCGGAAACUGGGAAACUUGAGUGCAGAAGAGGACAGUGGAACUCCAUGUGUAGCGGUGAAAUGCGUAGAUAUAUGGAAGAACACCAGUGGCGAAGGCGGCUGUCUGGUCUGUAACUGACGCUGAGGCUCGAAAGUAUGGGUAGCAAACAGGAUUAGAUACCCUGGUAGUCCAUACCGUAAACGAUGAAUGCUAAGUGUUGGAGGGUUUCCGCCCUUCAGUGCUGCAGCUAACGCAUUAAGCAUUCCGCCUGGGGAGUACGGCCGCAAGGCUGAAACUCAAAGGAAUUGACGGGGGCCCGCACAAGCGGUGGAGCAUGUGGUUUAAUUCGAAGCUACGCGAAGAACCUUACCAGGUCUUGACAUACUAUGCAAAUCUAAGAGAUUAGACGUUCCCUUCGGGGACAUGGAUACAGGUGGUGCAUGGUUGUCGUCAGCUCGUGUCGUGAGAUGUUGGGUUAAGUCCCGCAACGAGCGCAACCCUUAUUAUCAGUUGCCAGCAUUAAGUUGGGCACUCUGGUGAGACUGCCGGUGACAAACCGGAGGAAGGUGGGGAUGACGUCAAAUCAUCAUGCCCCUUAUGACCUGGGCUACACACGUGCUACAAUGGAUGGUACAACGAGUUGCGAACUCGCGAGAGUAAGCUAAUCUCUUAAAGCCAUUCUCAGUUCGGAUUGUAGGCUGCAACUCGCCUACAUGAAGUCGGAAUCGCUAGUAAUCGCGGAUCAGCAUGCCGCGGUGAAUACGUUCCCGGGCCUUGUACACACC
rnacentral:rRNA from 2 species